rnacentral:rRNA from 1 species
AGGAUGAACGCUGGCGGCGUGCCUAACACAUGCAAGUCGAACGUCCUGUCUCGCAAGAGGCAGGGAGUGGCGGACGGGUGAGUACCACGUGGGUCAUCUACCGUGAGGUGAGGAAUACCGGCGAGAAAUCGCCGACAAGACCGCAUAGGCUCGAUGCAAGUCGAGCAAAGCUCUUUCGAGAGAGGGAGCGCCACACGAGGAGCCUGCGCCCGAUUAGCUAGCUGGUGGAGUAACGGUUCACCAGGGCGACGAUCGGUAGCUGGUCUGAGAGGACGAUCAGCCACACUGGGAUUGAGAACGGCCCAGACUCCUACGGGGGGCAGCAGUGAGGAAUUUUCCGCAAUGGACGAAAGUCUGACGGAGCAACGCCGCGUGCAGGAGGAAGGUUUUCGGAUCGUAAACUGCUUUUCUCGGGGACGAGCAAGGACGGUACCCGAGGAGAAGCCCCGGCUAACUACGUGCCAGCAGCCGC